rnacentral:tRNA from 1 species
GCGGUUGUAGCUCAGUCGGUUAGAGUGCCGGCCUGUCACGCCGGAGGUCGCGGGUUCGAGCCCCGUCAACCGCG